rnacentral:rRNA from 1 species
CCUACGGGGGGCUGCAGUGGGGAAUAUUGGGCAAUGGGCGAAAGCCUGACCCAGCGACGCCGCGUGGGUGAUGAAGGCCUUCGGGUUGUAAAGCCCUGUCAUGCGGAAAGAACGACCCUGAGACGCAUACUCUCAGGGAGUGACGGUACCGCAGGAGGAAGCACCGGCUAACUCCGUGCCAGCAGCCGCGGUAAUACGGAGGGUGCAAGCGUUGUUCGGAAUUAUUGGGCGUAAAGGGCGCGUAGGCGGUAAUGUAAGUCAGAUGUGAAAUACUCCGGCUCAACCAGAGAACAGCAUCUGAAACUGCAUAACUAGAGUACAGAAGAGGGAAACGGAAUUCCCGGUGUAGAGGUGAAAUUCGUAGAUAUCGGGAGGAACACCAGUGGCGAAGGCGGUUUCCUGGUCUGAUACUGACGCUGAGGCGCGAAAGCGUGGGGAGCAAACAGGAUUAGAUACCCCAGUAGUC